UGGCCUCCAUUUCUCAGUUCUAAGGU
rnacentral:piRNA from 1 species